ACAGCCAUACCACAUUGAAAACACCGGUUCUCGUCCGAUCACCGAAGUUAAGCAAUGUCAGGCCUGGCCAGUACUUGGGAGGAUGACCACCUGGGAACACCGGGUGCUGUAGGCU
rnacentral:rRNA from 1 species